CUUCUCUGAGGCCCUGAAAACAUGGGGUUAGGGAGAGGGAUGAGCUACUAAAGCCCAGUGAGCGGAAUCCAUAAAAACAUUUAAAAUAUGCUAUAAUGAAAUGCGUCACUGCACAACCAUUUCACAGCUCAGAUUGGACAUGACCCCAAAACUCCCUCUGUCGGUGCCCGGCCCCCAAAGGAGCUCACACAGGUCUUUCACUAAUCUGCUCAUGGUGCCCGACCCUAUAAGGGCUCUCACAGGACUUAUCCAAGUAAAAUGCCCGGCCCCAAAGGAGCUCACACAGGACAUACAAUAAUGACAGACUUAUGGGCUAUUGAGGUCGCCUCGGUCCAAUCCACAUAUACAAGUAAUAAUGCAAUGCAUCAACUUGGUGAAUACUAAUGCAAAGCAUCCUACAUAAACAUGGCAUAAAUGAUGCAUGACUGAUGCUAAAACAUUCAUUUACUUAACA
rnacentral:lncRNA from 1 species